UACGUAGGAGGCAAGCGUUGUCCGGAAUUACUGGGCGUAAAGCGCGUGUAGGUGGUGGGACAAGUCUGCUGUGAAAGCGCCUGGCUUAACCGGGCGAGGUCGGCGGAAACUGUCCGACUCGAGGACGGUAGAGGGGGGUGGAAUUCCCGGUGUAGUGGUGAAAUGCGUAGAGAUCGGGAAGGAACACCUGUGGCGAAGGCGGCCCCCUGGGCCGGCCCUGACACUGAGACGCGAAGGCGUGGGGAGCGAACGGG
rnacentral:rRNA from 1 species